rnacentral:misc_RNA from 1 species
UGGCUCUCUCUGACCUGCUUCUGAACGCGCGCACCCACCCGUACGCUUCAUGGGACGAGCACACACCUGCACACAGCCUUAUACACGUUACAGAUACACAGUCACCGCUUGACGCGUAUACACGGAUAUACAUCACGCGCGCAGCGAAAGGAGAAGGACUCAACAGUGGCACCACUUGUGUGGCGGAACGAACAUACACUCAACAGACACACACUAAUACGCAGUGCACCACAGCAGCACCAUCAUCGACAUCGCCGCCGUUGUCUCUCUCUCUCUCUUGCUUCUGCUGCUCCCCUUCCUCUCUCCCUUUCUCCCUCUUUCCGUGAAGCCGCACGUCGCUUGCCACCAUCGCGCGGCCCCCUCUCUCCUUCUGCGUGAGCUUUUGUCAGAGACAUUGCCAAAUGCCUUCGGUCCCGUUAACAGUGGCGGCCUGCGACGCCGCCGGGACUCCACCAGCGCUCUUCGAACCACGCAAGCAGGAGCCGAUGCGUCGGCACCGCCCUUCCGGCAGCACGCCAGAUCGCCUUCAGGAGGCGUUACGAGCUGACGCAAGCCUACCGAGUGCGGCACCCACGCUACAGAGCGUCGGCUCAUCAUCGUGAAGGAGGCUGAUAUUGGGAGGGAUGUGGACAGGAAUGUGGGGCACUCCUCCCAGCACUCUGUCCUUUUCACUGUCUCCCGACCCCUCUCUCACUGCUGCCCCCCCCCCCCCCCCCCCGUCUCCCUCACCAGUUGAAAGCGAUGCCCCGUGUGCACGGGUCGACAAGAGAAGAAGGUUAGGGCGAUGAAGGCUCGCGUCUCUCUGCAAGGUGCGCACCUGUGUGUACGUGUGUGUGUGUGUUUCCGUGGUGUGUGUACACGCCAGGGCCGAUGAAAGUACCCCCUCCCUCCCUUCGCACACACACUCACACAGGUGCGCCGAGGCGUGUGCCCCAACAAACCCUGUUUCCAGCCGCUCUCUCUCCCCCCGGUGGGCUGCAUUCUCUGAAGGAGCGCACUCUCUCCUUCAUGUGUUGUGCGUUCGUUCUUUGCUUCGUUUCACUUGUACCUUCCCUUUACGUUUUACUCACCACCUCGAGGCAGUGCGGCGGCACGGCAUCGAUGCGGCGGAUGGGGGAUGGGAGGUGGGGCAGACGACGAUGAUCACGUGCCCCCUUCACCCCCAUUGCUGCCGGUGGGCGUCUCCACUGCCGUGCAUACCCCUUCCCCGCCCUCCCUCCUCUUUCCUCCCCUCCCCUUCUCUUCCCUACGCGCGUUUUUGCCCCCUCUCUCCCUCUCUCCCUCUCUCCCUCUCUCCCUCUCUCCCUCUCUCGUCCCUUCUCCUUCGUCAGAUGAUACGGCCGAUAGCGCGGAAAGAAAGGGGGACGGGGGCGGCGGGGGACUAGGAAAGCCGCUGCGCGAGACGGAUACACAGCGAAGGGAGGGCGGCGGGGAUGUGUGCUUGCCGAGUACCAUGGCCUAGACAAGUUCGUGGCCAACUGCCGCUGUUGCCACUACUGCCAGCUUUCAUUCGACCAUCCGCAUCCCCUUCGUGGACACUUGGGUUCACCUAUGCGUAUGCGGCGAUGAGUUACAUGGCGUACACGCAACUGUGCGUGUGCGUGUGCUUGCCUACAUGCUUUUUGAAUGUAUUUUGAUGUUUGCUUUCGGGGGUGAGGGUCUCUUCUAGAUGCAUACUGGCUGCUGGUUGACGAG